AACGAGCGCAACCCUUGCCUUUAGUUGCCAGCAGUUCGGCUGGGCACUCUAAAGGGACUGCCGGUGUUAAACCGGAGGAAGGUGGGGAUGACGUCAAGUCCUCAUGGCCUUUAUGACCAGGGCUACACACGUACUACAAUGGCCGAUACAAAGGGCAGCGACACUGCGAGGUGAAGCCAAUCCCGUAAAUACGGUCUCAGUCCGGAUUGGAGUCUGCAACUCGACUCCAUGAAGUUGGAAUCGCUAGUAAUCGUGGAUCAGCAUGCCACGGUGAAUACGUUCCCGGGCCUU
rnacentral:rRNA from 1 species